UAGGGAAUCUUCGGCAAUGGGGGGAACCCUGGCCGAGCAACGCCGCGUGAGUGAAGAAGGUUUUCGGAUCGUAAAGCUCUGUUGUUAAGGAAGAACGAGUGUGAGAAUGGAAAGUUCAUACUGUGACGGUACUUAACCAGAAAGGGACGGCUAACUACGUGCCAGCAGCCGCGGUAAUACGUAGGUCCCGAGCGUUGUCCGGAUUUAUUGGGCGUAAAGCGAGCGCAGGCGGUUAGAUAAGUCUGAAGUUAAAGGCAGUGGCUCAACCAUUGUAGGCUUUGGAAACUGUUUAACUUGAGUGCAGAAGGGGAGAGUGGAAUUCCAUGUGUAGCGGUGAAAUGCGUAGAUAUAUGGAGGAACACCGGUGGCGAAAGCGGCUCUCUGGUCUGUAACUGACGCUGAGGCUCGAAAGCGUGGGGAGCGAACAGG
rnacentral:rRNA from 1 species